UGGGGAAUUUUCCGCAAUGGGCGAAAGCCUGACGGAGCAAUGCCGCGUGAAGGCAGAAGGCCCACGGGUCAUGAACUUCUUUUCUCGGAGAAGAAAAAAUGACGGUAUCUGAGGAAUAAGCAUCGGCUAACUCUGUGCCAGCAGCCGCGGUAAGACAGAGGAUGCAAGCGUUAUCCGGAAUGAUUGGGCGUAAAGCGUCUGUAGGUGACUUUUCAAGUCCGCCGUCAAAUCCCAGGGCUCAACCCUGGA
rnacentral:rRNA from 1 species